rnacentral:rRNA from 1 species
AGGGUGACAGCCCCGUACACAAAAAUGCACAUGCUGUGAGCUCGAUGAGUAGGGCGGGACACGUGGUAUCCUGUCUGAAUAUGGGGGGACCAUCCUCCAAGGCUAAAUACUCCUGACUGACCGAUAGUGAACCAGUACCGUGAGGGAAAGGCGAAAAGAACCCCGGCGAGGGGAGUGAAAAAGAACCUGAAACCGUGUACGUACAAGCAGUGGGAGCCUCUUAAUGGGGUGACUGCGUACCUUUUGUAUAAUGGGUCAGCGACUUAUAUUCUGUAGCAAGGUUAACCGAAUAGGGGAGCCGAAGGGAAACCGAGUCUUAACUGGGCGUUAAGUUGCAGGGUAUAGACCCGAAACCCGGUGAUCUAGCCAUGGGCAGGUUGAAGGUUGGGUAACACUAACUGGAGGACCGAACCGACUAAUGUUGAAAAAUUAGCGGAUGACUUGUGGCUGGGGGUGAAAGGCCAAUCAAACCGGGAGAUAGCUGGUUCUCCCCGAAAGCUAUUUAGGUAGCGCCUCGUGAAUUCAUCUCCGGGGGUAGAGCACUGUUUCGGCAAGGGGGUCAUCCCGACUUACCAACCCGAUGCAAACUGCGAAUACCGGAGAAUGUUAUCACGGGAGACACACGGCGGGUGCUAACGUCCGUCGUGAAGAGGGAAACAACCCAGACCGCCAGCUAAGGUCCCAAAGUCAUGGUUAAGUGGGAAACGAUGUGGGAAGGCCCAGACAGCCAGGAUGUUGGCUUAGAAGCAGCCAUCAUUUAAAGAAAGCGUAAUAGCUCACUGGUCGAGUCGGCCUGCGCGGAAGAUGUAACGGGGCUAAACCAUGCACCGAAGCUGCGGCAGCGACGCUUAUGCGUUGUUGGGUAGGGGAGCGUUCUGUAAGCCUGUGAAGGUGUGCUGUGAGGCAUGCUGGAGGUAUCAGAAGUGCGAAUGCUGACAUAAGUAACGAUAAAGCGGGUGAAAAGCCCGCUCGCCGGAAGACCAAGGGUUCCUGUCCAACGUU